GAUGAACGCUAGCGGCAGGCUUAACACAUGCAAGUCGAGGGGCAGCGCGGGAUAGCAAUAUCCUGGCGGCGACCGGCGGAAGGGUGCGUAACGCGUGAGCGACAUGCCCGUUGCCCGGGGACAACCGGUGGAAACGCCGACUAAUCCCCGAUGGGAUAUUGUGCCGCAUGGCACGAUAUUGAAAGUUACGGCGGCGACGGAUUGGCUCGCGUCCGAUUAGCUGGUUGGCGGGGUAACGGCCCACCAAGGCUGCGAUCGGUAGGGGUUCUGAGAGGAAGGCCCCCCACAAUGGGACUGAGACACGGCCCAUACUCCUACGGGAGGCAGCAGUGAGGAAUAUUGGUCAAUGGGCGGAAGCCUGAACCAGCCAUGCCGCGUGCGGGAAGGAGGCCCUAUGGGCUGUGAACCGCUUUUGCCUGGGGGCAAUAAGGGCGUCGCGCACGUCCUAUGAGAGUACCAGGCGAAUAAGCAUCGGCUAACUCCGUG
rnacentral:rRNA from 1 species